AGCGAACGCUGGCGGCAGGCCUAACACAUGCAAGUCGAACGAACCUUUCGGGGUUAGUGGCGGACGGGUGAGUAACACGUGGGAACGUGCCUUUAGGUUCGGAAUAACUCAGGGAAACUUGUGCUAAUACCGAAUGUGCCCUUCGGGGGAAAGAUUUAUCGCCUUUAGAGCGGCCCGCGUCUGAUUAGCUAGUUGGUUGAGGUAAUGGCUCAGCAAGGCGACGAUCAGUAGCUGGUCUGAGAGGAUGAUCAGCCACAUUGGGACUGAGACACGGCCCAAACUCCUACGGGAGGCAGCAGUGGGGAAUCUUGCGCAAUGGGUGAAAGCCUGACGCAGCCAUGCCGCGUGAAUGAUGAAGGUCUUAGGAUUGUAAAAUUCUUUCACCGGGGACGAUAAUGACGGUACCCGGAGAAGAAGCCCCGGCUAACUUCGUG
rnacentral:rRNA from 1 species